AUACUUACCUGGCAGGGGAGAUACCAUGAUUGCAAAGAUGGUUUUUCCCAGGUUGAGGCUCAUCCAUUGCACUUUGGGUGUGCUGAUCCUGUGAUUUCCCCACAUGUGGGAAACUUGACUGCAUAAUUUGUGGUAGUGGGGGACUGUGUUUGUGCUUUCCCCUG
rnacentral:snRNA from 1 species